GACUGCGCAUAUAAACGCAAGCUACACAAAAGUGACAUGGACAAGAACAGCGCAAGCCCUUUACAUGCAGUGGAGCCGCCGUAUCUCGCCGUUCAAGAUAUGCGUACUCGUAAGUGGCAUUUUAAUUUCACGUUGUGUAAUGCAUGACUGUCUUUUUCAAGUGAACAAAGGUCGCUUUGUAUUGUGUAAAUGGUUUUGCAACGUAUGAUAAACUCCUUGUCUUUCGGGCUUAUUUUUUCUGACAGGAAAAAAAAAAAAAAAGAGGCUUUACAUGAGAACGGAUCAAGCGUUCGAGAGUUGGGACAGGGAAAUGAAACACUGGAACGACACUGCUUAAAUUGAAGCACAGUGUGCGAAUGACCUGCUACGCUCGGAACUGUUAUCACCAUUCGGGAAGAAAUUGGAUGAAAAAACAUAACUGUAAAUACCUGUAUGAUAUACGUCUGGUGCAUUGCAGGUAAGAAUGGAUUGUGUGUGGCGCGCUUCACCGCAUGUGGACUAGAGUAGAUCUAGGAACAUCAGACAAGAAGACACGUAUGUGAAACCCUGCGGAUAGCCCAUAUGUAAGUUCUUCCUCAAUUUUUCUUUUGUUGCAUUUUCGUAGUUUACGUGUAAUACUUUGUCACCGCGGUCUCGACGUUAUGUAUACCUAUACAUUUGUCUCGUGGCAGUCUGCGUGCUAUUUUGUUUGUGCAACUAUGUGUUGUAUUCAUUUAUCGAGCUGCUUGG
rnacentral:lncRNA from 1 species